CCCAACUAUCCCUAUUAAUCAUUACGGUGAUCCUAGAAACCAACAAAAUAGAAUGCGAUGUCCUAUUUCAUUAUUCCAUGCUAAUGUAUUCAAGCGUUAGCCUGCUUUAAACACUCUAAUUUUUUCAAGGUAACAGUCCUAAUUCCCCAAAACAUCAAAUUAAUGACAUUAAGGUUCCUUAGAAGGUGAGAACCAAUAUGACCAGUACACACCAACGGCAUGACUAAUGUGUCAAUCCCGAAAUUCAACUACGAGCUUUUUAACUGCAACAACUUUAAUAUACGCUAUUGGAGCUGGAAUUACCGCGGCUGCUGGCACCAGACUUGCCCUCCAAAUCUCCUCUCCA
rnacentral:misc_RNA from 1 species